UUUGAAAAGCAUCUCUGAUGGCCA
rnacentral:piRNA from 1 species